rnacentral:rRNA from 1 species
AACGAACGCUGGCGGCGUGCUUAACACAUGCAAGUCGAACGCGAAAGGGGCUUCGGCCCUGAGUAAAGUGGCGCACGGGUGAGUAACGCGUGGAUAAUCUGCCCUGUGAUCUGGGAUAACACUUCGAAAGGGGUGCUAAUACCGGAUAAGACCACGGAGUCUUAGGACUCUGCGGUAAAAGGUGGGGACCUUCGGGCCUACCGUCAUCGGAUGAGUCCGCGUACCAUUAGCUAGUUGGUAGGGUAAGAGCCUACCAAGGCGACGAUGGUUAGCUGGUCUGAGAGGAUGAUCAGCCACACUGGAACUGAGACACGGUCCAGACUCCUACGGGAGGCAGCAGUGGGGAAUUUUGCGCAAUGGGGGAAACCCUGACGCAGCAACGCCGCGUGAGUGAUGAAGGCCUUCGGGUCGUAAAGCUCUGUCAGAGGGGAAGAAGUGUGCGGGUGCUAAUAUCAUCUGCGCUUGACGGUACCCUCAAAGGAAGCACCGGCUAACUCCGUG